CCCGGCGACCGGCGCGCGGGUGAGUAACACGUAUGGAACCUGCCCGCAGCAGGGGGAUAAGCGGAAGAAAUUCCGUCUAAUACCGCGUAACACCGCAGAGGGGCAUCCCUCGGCGGUUAAAGAUUCAUCGGCUGCGGAUGGCCAUGCGGCGCAUUAGCUAGUCGGCGGGGUAACGGCCCACCGAGGCGACGAUGCGUAGGGGUUCUGAGAGGAAGGUCCCCCACACUGGUACUGAGACACGGACCAGACUCCUACGGAAGGCAGCAG
rnacentral:rRNA from 1 species